CUCCCACCAAAAUGACUGCCUGCUGUAAGCUCAAAGAAAAUGUUCAGAUUUCAAAAUUCGAAGAAAAUGUGAGACUAGGUAAAAGGAGUGACGUAAACAGAGUCAGCCUGUUUGAAGAGGGGUGGCAAAACAGAGGACUACAGCGCCUGCGGUGGCAGCCACUUCAUUCUGGCAUCCUUGCACUCUGCUAGAAGCUUUUGAGCUCAUCGCACGUCUCACAGCAGAAGACUUCCCGACGGAUAUAUUGGUUGUUCAUCCCUGGAACAUAAGGACAAAGAAAAAUCCCAGCCAUUCAGAUAAGGCAAUGCCGAUUCAGAUGAGUUUGAACCCAAAUACUGCCGUUUAAACUCCUGUGUGUGUUGUGUGUGUGCCUGUAGACGUAUCACAUGAUGAAUCUGUUUUCUCACUGCAGUUGAGGAUAAUAACAGUUACAUCAGAAAAUGCUGUGGAAUUCUUUGAAAUGAACAAAAAUAAAAAGGGCGUAUGGUAACUGUUCCGGAUUAUCUAGUGCUAUGAGAGGGCUGCCUCUUUCACUGUUUGAGCCAUUUUACAAUUCUAUGAAGAUUGCAGAGAUGGAAUUUGCCUUCACUGAAAAGGGCAUCAUCACUGA